GCCCGAGUGGUGAAAUUGGUAUACACGACGGAUUCAAAAUCCGUUUCUUUCGGGAGUGUCGGUUCAAGUCCGACCUCGGGCACCA
rnacentral:tRNA from 1 species